AUAAUACUCCCUCCGUCCCNAAAUUCUUGUCUUAAAUUUGUUUAGAUAUGAAUGUAUCUAGUGAAGUUUUAGCAUUUAGAACAUCAAUUUCUAGACAAAGCUAAGACAAGANNUUUGGGACGGAGGGAGUAUUUG
rfam:Hordeum vulgare subsp. vulgare, WGS project CAJW01000000 data, contig: morex_contig_42750